UACGUAGGGGGCAAGCGUUGUCCGGAUUUAUUGGGCGUAAAGAGCUCGUAGGUGGUUCGGUAAGUCGGAUGUGAAAUCUCCAGGCUCAACCUGGAGGGGUCAUUCGAUACUGCCGUGACUAGAGUUCGGUAGGGGAGUGUGGAAUUCCUGGUGGAGCGGUGAAAUGCGUAGAUAUCGUAAGGAAGACCAGUGGCGAAGGCGGGUCUCUGGACAGUUCCUGACGCUGAGGGCAC
rnacentral:rRNA from 1 species